UUUUUAAAACACUCCAGAUCAUGUUGUGUAAACUCAGUUUUGACAUCAAACACCCAAAUGGUAAAUGGAAAAAAGAAGCCUGGAUAUCUGUUCCAGCAUCUGUCCAGCACCAAAGCCUGCUUCCCUUUGUUUUCUCGGUCAGUCAUGCAUACAAAAGUAGAACUGUGGGGCAAAAAGGCAAAGAGCAAAGUCUCCUUUUGUAGUAAUUUAAUUGUGGAUUACUGGAAAACAUGCAGGCCAGAUGAACACACAGAUACUCAUCUGUUCAGUGAAGACAAAAGAGCAAAAGAAGCCACAACCUGCCUGUUGGUGUUGCAUUGAAAUGGAUGAUUUCAGUUAUUGAACUAUUCAAGAAUAGAAUUUCAAUGAUGAUGAAUAAAGGCACAGGGAAUCCCAACCUUCAGCUCAUAGAAAAGUCAUUAUGACCAAUGAAGCCACACAAAAAAACUCCACUGUUUAAUAAUGUUCAGCUGACAGUUGGAGCCUCAGGUACUCUAAACAAAUACAGGUGACACUCCGCAGAUGUGGAGCCACAACUGCUAAAAUAAUGUUUGCUUGAAUGGCAUUAGGACAAAAAAGCAGAGAGGAAGGUUUCCUUUCAGACUACAUUUGGGUAAUUUGAGCCAAGCAACCCAAUUUAGCUAAUUUCAUUUCACUUUCUCCCACAGUGAUACUAUCUUGCAUUUCCUGUGUUUAUAAGUAGCCAAAAGUAGUCAUUAUUUGGUGGACAGGGAGCAGUAGCUUUAUAUAGUUUGGAUUCACCGGCAUAUUUUACAGGAGAAAAUACUACAGAUUUGCCAAAAAUGUCUACUUCUUCUUGUUCUGUUGCCAUGCUGCCUACAGACUCUCUCCUCCAGCAUGGCCUUUCUUGUUUGACCUGAGACAGGCCUUGACAAAGGAUUCAGUGUGGAACUUUGUUUUGAUUUGGUGCUGUGCCUUUCCCAUCCUUUGACAUUUGAGCUAUUUUUUUCCUCAUAGAAAAUUUCUAACAAUGGCUGGUGGGCAGGGUCAGUGUAUCCCUCCCCCAGCUGGUGCCCUGUGGAGCAAAAUCCGGGGAAAAUGCAACACCAGUACACUGGAUAACCAGAUGAACUGGUUCUAUUCAUAGACUGUGUAAUAAAGAUGAACGUAGCGCCUGGCUCCAAAAAUGAAGCCUACGAAGCCUAAGUGUCAAAAACUUGCAAUAUCACACCGUCCGCCAGGCACUGACUCCAAAAAAGCUCUGGCUCCAUAGACCCCAAUUCAUCACGGGAAAAAUUAAAAGUUGAUAGACUGCUUUUCUACGGCUCAGGACUUUUUUGUUAGCCUUCAUGGUCGAAACGAUCAGGUGGCCGAUCUUAAAAUAAAUUAAUGUUGAAUUUUUUAUAGAGCGUUAAAGUUUUGCGGAGCCAGGGGGCGGGACUACUUGGCUGACAGUCUGGUCUGAAAUGAUUGACAGGUCCUACGGAGGAGGCAGCCCAGACGCUCAUUCACUGUAAACUCUGUUCUCGUUUGGAUUAACUCUGAUAUAACUGUUUAUUUAUCGGUGGAGCAGCACAAGGAAACUUGGAAUGACUUUUCACAGGUUUCCCAAAGACUAUGGGUGGAGGAGGAAGAGGAAGCAGCUCUGAGGAGAGAGGGGUUUGCUGCAAAUGAUGAGUGGGUGCUCUGCAGGGAUCAAUUUAAACCUGAUGAGUUUGACAGGGCUGGGCAGGUUUGUCGCCUUAGAUCUGGUGUCAUUCCAUCAGUGUUUAACUUCCCGGCUCAUUUUGGAAGAGUAAGUGCCAGAAAGACCACAACCAAGCAGCCUUGAGAUCUUAGGCAGCAUCUCUCUCAGUUUUCCUUUCUGAACAGUUCAAAGGUCCCUCUCUAUCUCCCCACACAUCCACCAACCACUGGAACACAUCUCCAAAGUUCUGCUGAAGCUCAGCUUCCCCUCAGAAGAAGUGCCGCCAGAUGAAGGAUCCUUUUGAGAGGCAGCUGGCAUCGUGAUUGGACUGUACUUUGGUCUGCUCCAAUCCAGCUUCAGCUCCAGAGACGGCAGGCGGGACGAGUCAACAGAGGCCGGGUGGACGAAGGCAUGCAGCUGAGUACAAUCCAGAAAACAACAGAGGAGGAGUGCAGCGGCCCAGGGCCAGAACAAACAGAGUAGCAUAGUAUGUCUCUGAGAAAACAUCAUAGUAUAGCCUUUGGUUCAAAAAACACCAUCAUUUACAUCAUAUAUUGUACAAAUAACAAGUCAAAGGAAAGACACAUACAUUGUAGAAUUGUAGUAAUUGUUGACUGACUGAUUUACUGAUUAUCAGUAUUUUAGUUUUUACUGAUUUAUGGUAAUAAAUACACACGUGGACAAAAUUGUUGGUACCCCUCAGUUAAAGAAGGAAAAACCCACAAUUCUCACUGAAAUCACUUGAAACUCACAAAAGUAACAAUAAAUAAAAAUUUAUUGAAAAUUAAAUAAUCAAAAUCAGCCAUCACUUUUGAAUUGUUUAUUAACAUAAUUAUUUAAAAAAACAAACUAAUGAAAUAGGGCUGGACAAAAAUGAUGGUACCUCUAUAAAAGAUUGAAAACUAUUUGACCAGAGUGACAUGAUUAACUCAGGUGUGUCAUUUAAUUGACAUCACAGGUGUUUCCAAACUCAAACAAUUUUGUCCACGUGUGUACAUUUAAAAAUGGUGCUACUUUGGCUCUGAACCUUUAUCUAGCUGUGGUCGCUCUGUCUUCUGGAGUGAUUUGAUUGGUUAUACGUCACAAAUAAAACUCCUUUAACUUAACAUCUGUAAACAAAAUAAAAUCGUAUCAACAAAG